rnacentral:tRNA from 1 species
CGAUCUCGUAGCGGGGGUAGCGCAGCGCGGUCAUCGCCUGCACGGCCGGGACGAUGCCGGCACCCUCGUUGUAAGCGGGGACGAUCAC